UACGUAGGGGGCAAGCGUUAUCCGGAUUUACUGGGUGUAAAGGGAGCGUAGACGGUUUGGCAAGUCUGAUGUGAAAGCCCGGGGCUCAACCCCGUGACUGCAUUGGAAACUGUUGAACUAGAGUGCAGGAGAGGUAAGUGGAAUUCCUAGUGUAGCGGUGAAAUGCGUAGAUAUUAGGAGGAACACCAGUGGCGAAGGCGACUUACUGGACUGUAACUGACGUUGAGGCUCGAAAGCGUGGGGAGCAAACAGG
rnacentral:rRNA from 1 species